rnacentral:lncRNA from 1 species
UGCAUAGCUAAUACCAUCGUGUGCAUCCCCCACAUCACGCACAUGCAAUAUCAUCAUCAACACUCUCGCACCCGUCAUCACCGGCAUGUGCUCCCCCCACAUCGCGACAUGCACAACUAUAUUUAUUACACAAUAUCACCUCUUAAUGCACAACACAUAUAUGUUUAUAUCAACAUAAUAAAGGAGUACAUGGAUUCAUCACAGUCACAUUUCAUAACACAAC